GAUGAACGCUGGCGGCGUGCCUAAUACAUGCAAGUCGAGCGAACAGACGAGGAGCUUGCUCCUCUGACGUUAGCGGCGGACGGGUGAGUAACACGUGGAUAACCUACCUAUAAGACUGGGAUAACUUCGGGAAACCGGAGCUAAUACCGGAUGAUAUAUUGAACCGCAUGGUUCAAUAGUGAAAGACGGUUUUGCUGUCACUUAUAGAUGGAUCCGCGCAGCAUUAGCUAGUUGGUAAGGUAACGGCUUACCAAGGCAACGAUGCAUAGCCGACCUGAGAGGGUGAUCGGCCACACUGGAACUGAGACACGGUCCAGACUCCUACGGGAGGCAGCAGUAGGGAAUCUUCCGCAAUGGGCGAAAGCUUGACGGAGCAACGCCGCGUGAGUGAUGAAGGUCUUCGGAUCGUAAAACUCUGUUAUUAGGGAAGAACAAAUGUGUAAGUAACUAUGCACGUCUUGACGGUACCUAAUCAGAAAGCCACGGCUAACUACGUG
rnacentral:rRNA from 1 species